AACGAACGCUGGCGGCAGGCCUAACACAUGCAAGUCGAACGCUCCGCAAGGGGAGUGGCGCACGGGUGAGUAACACGUGGGAACCUACCUUCUGGUACGGAACAACCAAGGGAAACUCUGGCUGAUACCGUAUACGACCUCCGGGUGAAAGAUUGAUCGCCGGAAGAGGGGCCCGCGUCCGAUUAGGUAGUUGGUGAGGUAACGGCUCACCAAGCCUGCGAUCGGUAGCUGGUCUGAGAGGANGACCAGCCACACUGGGACUGAGACACGGCCCAGACUCCUACGGGAGGCAGCAGUGGGGAAUCUUGCGCAAUGGGCGAAAGCCUGACGCAGCGACGCCGCGUGA
rnacentral:rRNA from 1 species